UUCCUCUUCUCUACCACCGGUAACAAGUCAGGAGACCAACCUAGUGGCUAGAUGUUGACGGGUAUACGGCCAUGCUCAUGAUUAUCACAUCAAUUCUAUUUCAAAUAACAGUGAUGGAGAAACUUUUAUAUCAGCCGAUGAUCUACGUAUAAAUCUUUGGAACUUGGAAAUUAGCAAUCAAAGUUUCAAUAUUGUCGAUGUAAAGCCUGCAAACAUGGAGGAUCUAACUGAGGUUAUAACAUCAGCAGAGUUUCACCCUACCCACUGUAAUAUGCUAGCAUAUAGUAGUUCAAAGGGCUCAAUUCGCCUCAUUGAUUUGCGGCAAUCAGCUUUGUGUGAUUCUCAUGCAAAAUUGCAACUGGUUUACCGUUUUUAGUUUCUUUUGUUGAAUUUACUGAGAUUUGCACCAAAAAUUGAACUAUUGUUAUUAUCCUAAAGUUUAGAUUUAAGCAAAAUAUGUUCUGUGAACGUGAGGCUACUUCAUGUA